GAUACUUGGUGUGAAUUGCAGAAUCCCGUGAACCAUCGAGUCUUUGAACGCAAGUUGCGCCCGAAGCCUUAGGGCCGAGGGCACGUCUGCCUGGGCGUCACGC
rnacentral:rRNA from 1 species